rnacentral:lncRNA from 1 species
GGUGUUGUAAUAGGGUGUUUGCGGGGUUGCGGAAGAAGAAGAAGAAAAGAAAUUAUUCCUUUGGACGUAUAUACUGCUAGUCGAGGAGAAGUGCUAUCAAUCUAUCCAUAUCGAUCGAUGAAAUCAGCACCGUGUGAAUUACUCUAUUUGUUAUGCACCUAAUUUGCAAAUCAUUUUGGACCUAUUUGCAAAACAGCGGAAGAUGGUGUGAAAACAGCGCCCAGAUAAGGACUUAAAAUGCAAAGAGUGCUCACGUGACAAGACAGUUUAAGAGCUGAUUUG